GACGAACGCUGGCGGCGUGCUUAACACAUGCAAGUCGAACGGAAAGGCCCUGCUUUGGUUGGAUGCUCGACUGGCGAACGGGUGAGUAACACGUAAGUAACCUGCCCUUGACUUUUGAAUAACUUCAAGAAACUGGGGUUAAUACCGUAUAGUACCUCCUGCUGCAUGGUGGUGGUUGGAAACUUUGGGGGGUGGGGGAUGGACUCGCGGCUUACCAGCUUGUUGGGGGGGUAGUGGCUUACCAAGGCUUUGGCGGGUAGCCGGCCUGAGGGGGGGCCCGGCCACAUUGGGCUGGGGAUACGGCCAGGACUCCUACGGGAGGAAGAAGUGGGGAAUAUUGCACAAUGGGGGGAGGCCUGAUGAAGAACGCCCGGGGGCGGGAUGACGGCUUUGGGGUUGUAACCCGUUUCAGCAUGGGACGAAGCGUGAGUGACGGUAAUUGGUAAAGAAGCACCGGCUAACUACGUG
rnacentral:rRNA from 1 species